UACGAAGGGGGCUAGCGUUGCUCGGAAUACUGGGCGUAAAGCGCACGUAGGCGGACUCUUAAGUCGGUGGUGAAAUCCUGGAGCUCAACUCCAGAACUGCCUUCGAUACUGGGAGUCUCGAGUCCGGGAGAGGUGAGUGGAACUGCGAGUGUAGAGGUGAAAUUCGUAGAUAUUCGCAAGAACACCAGUGGCGAAGGCGGCUCACUGGCCCGGUACUGACGCUGAGGUGCGAAAGCGUGGGGAGCAAACAGG
rnacentral:rRNA from 1 species